rnacentral:lncRNA from 1 species
AGAUAGGAAAUGAUUGCUGUCAGGGAAUGUCUUAGGCCCAUCUCCAGUGUCACUGGCAACUCUUAGAAUAUCAGGCUGACAGAUCUAAAUAACAUCAAUUAUAAUUGCAUGGCCACAAUUUCUCAAUGUCUCCCUAUACUCACCUCCCUCUCCUGCCCUUUUCCCUUCCUUAGACCAGUGGGUCUCAGGCUUUGCUACAUGCUGGAAUUACCUGUGGGGCUUUAAAAACUACUAAUGCCUUGGUCCCAUUCACAGAUUCUGAUUUAACUUGUCUGAGAUAUAGUCUCAGUGUUGUCCUUUUAAAAAGCUCUCCAGAUAAUCACUGCAUUUUGAGCACUAAAAAUUUAAAAAUUAAUUUUGUUUUCAAUGUAAAGCCUAAGUUAACACAUGCCAAUAACAAUUAUACAAUUAAUAGCAUAACAAUAAUACAAUUAAUAAAAAGGCAGAAAUUGAAUCAUGGUGCCUAAAAUUAACUUCAUACUGCUAACAAUAUUUUGGUAUCUUAAGCUCAUUUAAAACCUACUUUAAUGUAAACAUCCUCUGUCCUGCCCUGCCUCAUAAAUUUGAGGCUAUUGAGCCAACUUGGUGUGAAGGUACCAGGCUGGAAGGAGCAGAGCAGUACGAUGUGGUCCUAUCAUUUGCUGAAAGAUUCUUAAGUGCCGAUGCUAGUUCCGAGUGCUCUCAUACAUUUCAGUCAGCUCCAGGGAUCUAAGGAUCUCUUACCAUAUAUUUGCUCUGCCAGUUUGGUUGUCACUUGCACUGAAUGGAUAUUUUUCAACCUCAGUGUCAGGAGACUCUGAUGUGUCAUGAUCAGCUGAGACUGAGAUAUGUUACAAGAAAUGGUAAAAUAAUAACAAAGUUCUGGCAUUUAAGAAUUCAUUCCAGCAAACUCAAGGUUAUCCUUAUAAUAGCAUAGUUUUUACUCACUUGCAUGCCAGUACACUGUCUUGAAUGGGAGAACAUGGUGGAGUUACUGUGAGGGACUGUCAUUUGACAUGAGUGUCCCUGUGGAACAAAGCUUGGGGUUUUGCAAAAUCCAGUCUCCAAGUCAAAGGAGUUCCUCCCUGGGCCUCAAGGUUGCAGCAGUGCAUAUUAAUGGGGGUGGUGGGGAGAGCCGGACAAAGGGGCUUCUCUGUGUUCCGGUGCCCAGUCUCUUUUUUGGGGACAGAGAGGACUUUGUUUUCUUACACUGGAGAAGGAAGCUUGGGUACAAGGUCACACCUGAACUGAAAAUGGAAAAAAAAAGUCUUAAGGUUCCUGAGCAAAAGAGAAAAGGAGGUUUGACCAUGAGGCUUGGAGAAGGGAGAAGGGCUGGGGAGUACGGCAAGCAUCAAAUUGGAUAUUUCUCUGGAAACACUGACAGUCUGAAUUCCCUCAAUCUGUGUCUCAAUCCCAAACUGAAAGGACCAUCUUCCUGAG